UACGGGGGGAGCAAGCGUUGUUCGGAUUUACUGGGCGUAAAGGGCGCGUAGGCGGCCACCGCAAGUCAGUUGUGAAAGCUCUGGGCUUAACCCAGAAAGGUCAACUGAUACUGCGGGGCUAGAGUGCAGAAGGGGCAACUGGAAUUCUCGGUGUAGCGGUGAAAUGCGUAGAUAUCGAGAGGAACACCUGCGGCGAAGGCGGGUUGCUGGGCUGACACUGACGCUGACAGCGCGAAAGCCAGGGGAGCAAACGGG
rnacentral:rRNA from 1 species